rnacentral:rRNA from 1 species
AACCUCCGCAAUGUGAGAAAUCGCGACGGGGGGAUCCCAAGUGCCAUUCUUAACGGGAUGGCUUUUCAUUAGUGUAAAGAGCUUUUGGAAUAAGGGCUGGGCAAGACCGGUGCCAGCCGCCGCGGUAACACCGGCAGCUCUAGUGGUAGCAGUUUUUAUUGGGCCUAAAGCGUCCGUAGCCGGUUUAAUAAGUCUCUGGUGAAAUCCUGUAGCUUAACUGUGGGAAUUGCUGGAGAUACUAUUAGACUUGAGACCGGGAGAGGUUAGAGGUACUCCCAGGGUAGAGGUGAAAUUCUGUAAUCCUGGGAGGACCGCCUGUUGCGAAGGCGUCUAACUGGAACGGUUCUGACGGUGAGGGACGAAAGUUAGGGGCGCGAACCGGAUUAGAUACCCGGGUAGUCCUAACCGUAAACGAUGCGGACUUGGUGUUGGGGUGGCUUUGAGCUGCUCCAGUGCCGAAGGGAGCUGUUAAGUCCGCCGCCUGGGAAGUACGGUCGCAAGACUGAAACUUAAAGGAAGU